AUUGAACGCUGGCGGCAUGCCUUACACAUACAAGUCGAACGGUAGCGGGCCUUCGGGUGCCGACGAGUGGCGAACGGGUGAGUAAUGUAUCGGAACGUACCUUUCAGUGGGGGAUAACGUAGCGAAAGUUGCGCUAAUACCGCAUAUUCUGUGAGCAGGAAAGCAGGGGAUCGCAAGACCUUGCGCUGAUUGAGCGGCCGAUAUCAGAUUAGCUAGUUGGUGAGGUAAAGGCCCACCAAGGCGACGAUCUGUAGGGGGUCUGAGAGGAUGAUCCGCCUCACUGGAACUGAGACACGGUCCAGACUCCUACGGGAGGCAGCAGUGGGGAAUUUUGGACAAUGGGGGCAACCCUGAUCCAGCCAUGCCGCGUGAGUGAAGAAGGCCUUCGGGUUGUAAAGCUCUUUCGGCCGGGAAGAAAUCGUAUCAGCUAAUACCUGGUGCGGAUGACGGUACCGGCAUAAGAAGCACCGGCUAACUACGUGCCAGCCGCCGCAGUAAUAC
rnacentral:rRNA from 1 species